UCCGCUUAUCAAUAAACGGAGGAAAAGAAACUUACAAGGAUUCCCUUAGUAACGGCGAGUGAACCGGGACCCAGCCUUAGAAUCGGGCGAUCCAUCGUCUAAAUUGUAGUAGGGAGAAGCGUCCUCAGCGGCAGCCGGACCCAAGUCUUCUGGAAGGGGGCGCCAGAGACGGUGAGAGCCCCAUUGUGCUUGGACCCUAUCGCACCACGAGGCGCUGUCUACAAGUCGAGUUGUUUGGGAAUGCAGCCCAAAUCGGGGGGUGAAUUCCGUCCAACGCUAAAUACGGGUGAGAGAUCGAUAGCGAACAAGUACUGCGAGGGAAAGGUGAAAAGGACUUUGAAAAGAGAGUCAAAGAGUGUUUGAAAUUGUCGGGAGGGAAGCGGAUGGGAGCCGGCGAUGUACCCCGGUUGGAUGUGGAACGGUGAAAUGCUUGUUCGCCGAUCGACUCGGGGAGUGGACCAGCGUUGAUUGGAGGAGAGACCAAAGCCUGGGCUCUCUAUAGGCCCUUGGAAUGCGGUCUCCUUGAUUAUGGUAGGCAGCGCAUGCCUCUGGUGUGCUUUGGCAUCUGCGUGCUCUGGACGAGAGCAUGUGGGCUCUCCAUUUGACCCGUCUUGAAACACGGACCAAGGAGUCUGACACGUGUGCGAGUUAACGGGCGAGUAAACCCGUAAGGCGUAAGGAAGCUAAUUGGUGGGAUCUUCCUGAGGGGUGCACCGCCGACCGACCGUGAUCUUCUGAGAAGGGUUCAAGUGUGAGCAUACCUGUCAGUACUCGAAAGAUGGUGAACUAUGCCUGAGCUGGGCGAAGCCAGAGGUAACUCUGGGGGAGGCCUGCAGCGAUCCUGACGUGCAAAUCGUUCGUCUGACUUGGGUAUAGGGGAGAAAGACUAAUUGAACCGUCUAGUAGCUGGUUCCCUCCGAAGUUUCCCUCACAAUAGCUGGAGCUCGCGUGCAAGUUCUAUCGGGUAAAGCCAAUGAUUAGAGGCCUCUGGGGCGCAACGCCCUCUACCUGUUGAGCUGCGCCACGGAAUCAAGAGCUCCAAUUGGGCCAUUUUUUGUAAGCAAAACUGGCGAUGCGGGAUGAAUCGGAAGUCGGGUUACGGUGCCAAACUGCGUGCUAACCUAGAUCCCACAAAGGGUGUUGGUCGAUUAAGACAGUUGGACGGUGGUCAUGGAAGUGGAAAUCUGCUAAGGAGUGUGUAACAACUCACCUACCGAAUCAACUAGCCCCGAAAAUGGGUGUUCGCUUAAGCGCGUGACCUACACCCGACCGUCGGGGUAAGUGCCAGGCCCCGAUGGUUAGGAGGGUGCGGCGGUCACUGCAAAACCUUGGGCUGAGCGGCCGUCGGAGCAGAUCUUGGUGGUAGUAGCAAAUAUUCAAAUGAGAACUUUGAAGGAAGAAAAGGGGAAAGGUCGACCUCCUAACCCGUCGAUGUGGGUGGAAGUUCAGCGACCAGGGAUAAGCUCGCCAAAAAUUGCAGUCUCUUCACCAAAAUGAGGUCCAUCU
rnacentral:ncRNA from 1 species